AAAACCGCCGGGGAAAUUGAGAUGCAAGGGGCAUUUUUUGGCAAGCACCAGGCCAGUACCGUCAGAGGCCGGCUUCUCGGGCUCGGCGAUCGGAAUGCCAAGUGUGAGAUGUUUGCUGAGACAACCGGAGCAUUCGCGGUGGGAAAGGAGAAGAAAGGGUUAGGAAAGUCCGAGCAGGCAGACACACUACAGCAUUCACACGCAGAAGAAAGCGGCGCUCUCCUCGCCGACUUGGAGGAGGGCAGGCGAGGAAGCGAACACGCUGAAUUCAGCUGCAUCCAGCAUCUGAAAGGAUUCUCCCCCGCCCCCCUGUGGAUUCCGAUGCAGGUCAUGCAACUUGCGGACAAGACGGGGGGAUGGGGGAGAUGCGGGUGCCACCGGCCCGACCCGGGCGCAGUCUCAGGCUGGCUGGGCGCCUGCGAGUGGCUCUGUCGCUGUGAGUAAACUUGGAAGCAAAAAAAAAAAAGAAAGAAAGAAAAGAACGUGUCUAUAAAAGGCAAUUUUUCCCGACUCCCUCUUACAUUCCACCUUCCCUUGGCCUCGGUGAGACUUUUACCCCCUGUUGCCAGUGUGGCCUCCUUACCAGACUGGCAUUUUGCCCUCCCACCAGCAGGAGGGGACAGAGAGUGGAGACCUUCAUAGAGUCUCAAACCAGUUCCUACUGGCCCAAGGCCAUCUCUGAUAGCCCCCAGUGCCAGUCUGUGAGGAGCUCUGGAAUUUCUUGAUUGAAAAUCAGGGAAACUGAGGCGUACUCGAAGCUGUCCCUUGGCCUUUUUUCAGGCGGUAUCAGAAAAACAGGGAGAAGCUUUCUCAGACCAGGUCUGGGGAAAGUCCCGUAAGCAGAGUAUGCCAUGUGGAUUUGGCCCAGCAUCAGUUCUCCUGCCUGGAACUAAGAUGGUUGUGUCUUAAAGGUGCCGCGCACACUUUUGUUGAGAAAGAAAUGAUUUUUAACACUUCCAUUGGAGAAGGGGCGGCAUCCAUAAGUCAGAACAAAUUUAAAACACUUGUAAAACCUCUUUGGAGAUGGUACAAGGGCAGCUGUGGAACAAGGGGCCCUGAUGAGACAAGAAGCCUUUCAUCCCUCCAGUGUGAUGGGAUUAAGAUGAGGCGUUAUGUUUAUGCUGGAGCUCCAGGCCUGAGCAGGAAGUGGCAACUUACAAGGAGGAAGGCCCUUUUAAAAGCUGACAGGAUGGUCCAGGAGUGGAGAGAGCAGUGUUCUAUUCGGGAACUUAGGGAAAUCACUUAUGUAUGGCUUUCAUAUCUGUAAAAAUGACUAGAUUGGUCCACGCUGCCCAAAGUGUGAUCCUUUGACCAGCAGCAUCCACAUCACCUGGAAGCUUGGUAGAAACCCAAUAUCUGAGAUCCCACCCCAGACUGAGUAAACCAGAAAAUCCAUUUUAACAUGCUCCCCAGGUGAGUCAUGAACACAUUACAGUGUGAGAGGUACUGAGGUGACUCCCCAAGUCCCUUCCCGCUUGGAUAGUCUCUGACUCUACAUGGACCUGGGUGGAAGGGACUUUUGAAGAAAAAAAAAAAAGAGGUUACAGUGAUGUGGAUUCUCAGAAUAUUAUUCAGUUAGGGUGACAAAAAUUGGGUGUUUCAGAUGCAAGGGCCUUGUCAAAAAACAGACCUGUGAAGUAUCACUACAAGUGCAAGGGAGAAUAUUCUCAUCCUUCAUUCAUUCUUAAUCUCUGAGAACAGCCAGAUCUCAAAGAGGGGGCAGGACAAAUUGUCCAGUGCAGAUACCCUGCUCUUGGCCAGCAGGGGUACAGAGCAUCUGGGGUGUCUUGUCUGCUUGGCGAGAAUGUCCUGGUUGACAAGGAAGAGUGGCUGUCACAUCACCGUGAUUCCUAGCCUCCAGCCACUGGGUCCUAGAAAUAUCGUGACCUGCCAAUCAGGGGAUAAUCCCUCCCAUCUCUUACAGCUAGCAUCUUAGAAAGGAGGAGACUUACCAGUGGAUGCCAUGCUGAUCAACAAGAGGCAGGAGCGGGCAGAGUUUUUUGAACAGUAAAUAAACCUUCAGUUUAGUUCA
ensembl:lncRNA